CACCGCCCGUCACAUCAUGAAAGCCGGUUGUACCCGAAGUCCACUCUGUUAACCGCAAGGAGACAGUGGCCGAAGGUAUGGCUGGUGAUUGGGAUGAAGUCGUAACAAGGUACCC
rnacentral:rRNA from 1 species